CCUUGCUCAGUGAGGUGUAAAAUUACCACAUUAACAAUUGUCUCCCUUGCCUCUCUCCGAAGGCUCAGGGAACACUGAGCUGUGCAGGCAGGACUGAUUUGAUUGCCUCCAUCUUUUAUUGAGAAAUAAAGUCUGUCAAGGCAAUAUCAGAUGACUGUUGUUUCCUUUGUUCUCUUCAGAGGGAGGAAUAAUGGGUGUCAGGAAAAAGUACAGCCAUGUGUCUGGGUAAUAAAAGUGGCACAUCAAUGAGCAUGGGCAAACCACUACAAUUAACACAGGGGGAUGGAUGCUGCCUGCUUAAACUCUGCAAGAGCUCCAGCAGCUCCACACCCAGCUGCCAUUUGUUCCCAUCCCAAGGCUUUCCACCAGCAGCAGCUCCUCCACAAAGCCAUGAGACACUCUGAAAUCAUAUGCUCAAGGGAAGGGGUGGAGACUUUUUCAUAGUAUGAGUGACUGUUGAGAACAGUUAUUCAGUCUGUUCAUCAGUGGCAGCAAAUGCAUCCCACAAUCUACACCCUCAAGGCUGAAACAGAAUUACAAGACUACAGAGGAAGACAGGCAAGAUGGAUGUGCACAAAGGUAUGGAUGUGUACUGCUGUCACAGUUUUGAAAGACAUAAGCAUUCAUCAUGUUUCAAAAUGGUGCUUGAGCCAGGAGAGGACAAAUCAAAAGAAGAAAGAACAGAGGGAAUGAGAAGACAAGAGUGUGCAGGAGCAGCAGAAAGGAAAGUCAGCUGUAAUACACUCACCCGGGAACCUGGACCCAAACCCUUUUCCCCACAUCCUCCUCCAGAGUCAACACCACAGAGUAAUAUCCUCCUCCUCAAGCCAUGGGAAAAUGUGAGGGUGAGAGCCUGAAAACCUGGGCAGCUGCUCAAACUAAAUCACUGCACCACACCAGAGAGCUCUGCAAGGGCAGACAAAGCUGCAUGCUCACUCCACUGCUAGCAUUUGAUAAAAACAGUUUACUAAAGGACCUGCUAAUGUCUUAAAUUCAGUACAAAUACUGGGACAGUAACUAACAGAAAUAGGGUUAGUUCACACAAUGAACAAUGAAAACAAUAAACACAGAACAUGUAUUUUCA